rnacentral:rRNA from 1 species
CCCUUCGGGGUACUCGAGCGGCGAACGGGUGAGUAACACGUGAGCAACCUGCCCUAGGCUUUGGGAUAACCCUCGGAAACGGGGGCUAAUACCGAAUAUUCACUCACGGGCGCAUGUUUGUGGGUGGAAAGUUUUUCGGCUUGGGAUGGGCUCGCGGCCUAUCAGCUUGUUGGUGGGGUAAUGGCCUACCAAGGCGACGACGGGUAGCCGGCCUGAGAGGGCGACCGGCCACACUGGGACUGAGACACGGCCCAGACUCCUACGGGAGGCAGCAGUGGGGAAUAUUGCACAAUGGGCGGAAGCCUGAUGCAGCGACGCCGCGUGAGGGAUGACGGCCUUCGGGUUGUAAACCUCUUUCAGCAGGGACGAAGCGCAAGUGACGGUACCUGCAGAAGAAGCGCCGGCCAACUACGUGCCAGCAGCCGCGGUAAGACGUAGGGCGCGAGCGUUGUCCGGAUUUAUUGGGCGUAAAGAGCUCGUAGGCGGCUUGUCGCGUCGACUGUGAAAACCCGUGGCUCAACUGCGGGCCUGCAGUCGAUACGGGCAGGCUAGAGUUCGGUAGGGGAGACUGGAAUUCCUGGUGUAGCGGUGAAAUGCGCAG